CACCGAAGUAGUAAAGGCCAUGCAGCAGCAGCAGCAACAGCCGCAGGCGUCAGUGCGGUUGUAAAGAGCAUCGUCAGAGUUCCAAGAUCUGGUAGUAGGGUGGGCCACUUGGGCCAGUCGUCUUGUCUUCCUUGGAAAGGGGAAUCCGAGGGUGGAGAGCCCUCAGUCUGAUCACAAUUCUACUCCCGGAGGAUCCCUACCUCUACUCUACCAGAAGACCCUCGAGACUCACAGUCGAGAGGACCUCCUGGAUCGAAGGCUCUAGGAGAUGAACCGGUGGAUCGAAGAGCUCCGUCACGCUCCCCCUGCUUAUGGUGAGGAC
rnacentral:lncRNA from 1 species